rnacentral:siRNA from 1 species
GGCUAGUGCUUGUGUCCAG